ACGCUCGGGACCGCGAAGCUCUGAAACUCCUACUUGAAUUUGUGGCGCUUGGGGUUCGCGAGGUGCGGAACGGAGGUGGGAGCCAGCAGUCUCGGUGGUGUUAUAUCUCCAUUUUACAAACAAGGGACUGAAGCUCACAUAAAGGUAACCUGGAUUCUCCUGUCUUUUGAAAUGGAAACUGUCCUAACCCCAUAACCUCAACACCACUCGCCUGCCCCUGGCUCAGCGCCCGGUGCCAACAGAACACCUUUCAAGAUCCACAGCAACGCCGACAACGAGUCCAGGAUCCCGGCCUCUGCUUGGAACGGAACAGUGUCAUGGCGGAGACGACGGCCUUUGUCUUGCUGGGUGUGAAAGCAUCCACUGUGCUGGCUCCACUGCGGCAGAAUCAAGUUUAAAGGAAAAAAUCACAAAAUUUCAGUGUAAAACAGGUACAGGGUGUCAUUAAAAUGUACAUCUGAAGGACCUCAUCUUUGAAGGCAUGUCAGGAAAGGCUUUCCGAAAAAGUGACUUCAAGGUUAAUUCUGAAAGUCGAAGACAAAUUGGACAAAAAGAGGGAGAAAGUAUUUUCCAUAUAGAGUAUAUCUUCAGUAAAUCCUGAGGCAAGAACAGAUCAUGGCUGCUUGGAAGGAUUAAAAUCAAACCAAUGUGACUAAACAAGUAUAGACAAUGGGUCAUUGGAUCAUACUAGGGACAGAUUUGGAGAACAAAUGAUCAUCUGCAGAAGUUUUCCCUUCCUUUGAAUGAUCUCCCAAUCUCCUCAUAGUGAUGAGGAUGUUCUUUUGGCAGUAUUAUCCUUAUGGCAGACCAGAAAGGACGGAAG